UACGUAGGAUGCAAGCGUUGUACUGAUUUAUUGGGUUUAAAGGGUGCGUAGGCGGCCUAUUAAGUUAGUGGUGAAAACGUUCGGCUUAACCGGAUACCCGCCAUUGAUACUGAUAGACUUUAGUGCGACAGAGGGUGUUGGAAUGUGUGGUGUAGCGGUGAAAUGCUUAGAUAUCACGCAGAACACCAAUUGCGAAGGCAGAUGCCUAUGUCGUAACUGACGCUGAGGCACGAAAGCGUGGGGAGCAAACAGG
rnacentral:rRNA from 1 species